rnacentral:rRNA from 1 species
UACGAAGGGGGCUAGCGUUGCUCGGAAUCACUGGGCGUAAAGGGCGCGUAGGCGGAUCUUUAAGUCGGGGGUGAAAGCCCAGGGCUCAACCCUGGAAUUGCCUUCGAUACUGAAGAUCUCGAGACCGGAAGAGGUGAGUGGAACUGCGAGUGUAGAGGUGAAAUUCGUAGAUAUUCGCAAGAACACCAGUGGCGAAGGCGGCUCACUGGCCCGAUACUGACGCUGAGGCACGAAAGCGUGGGGAGCAAACAGG